rnacentral:lncRNA from 1 species
UGUGUGUGUUAGAUAGGGCUGAUUUGCCUGGCUGAAGACACAAAGCAGGAUUAUAAAGCCACUAGGGUUAGAGUUAUGGGUAGAGCAGGGCCCACCAGACACAGUAUGGAGAGAGAGAUAGAGAGAGAGGUAGAGAGAGGGAAAGGUAGAGAGAGAGAGAGAGGUAGAGAGAGGGGGAGGUAGAGAGAGGGAGAGGUAGAGAGAGAGAGGUAGAGAGAGGGGGAGGUAGAGAGAGAGAGGUAGAGAGAGGUAGAGAGAGAGAUAGAGAGAGAGGUAGAGAGAGGGAGAGAGAGAGAGAGAGGUAGAGAGGUAGAGAGAGGGGGAGGUAGAGAGAGAGAGGUAGAGAGAGGUAGAGAGAGAGGUAGAGAGAGAGAGGUAGAGGUAGAGAGAAAGGUAGAGAGAGAGAGAGAGAGAGAGAGAGAGGUAGAGAGAGUUAGGGGUAGAGCAGGGCCCACCAGACACAGUAUAGAGAGAGAGAGAGGUAGAGAGAGAGAGGUAGAGAGAGAGGUAGGUAGAGAGAGAGGUAGAGAGAGAGAGAGGGAGGUAGAGAGAGGUAGAGAGAGGGAGGUAGAGAGGUAGAGAGAGAGGUAGAGAGAGAGGUAGAGAGGUAGAGAGGGAGGUAGAGAGGUAGAGAGGUAGAGAGAGAGGUAGAGAGGUAGAGAGGUAGAGAGAGAGGUAGGGGUAGAGCAGGGCCCACCAGACACAGUAUGGAGAGUGGGAGGUAGAGAGAGAGAGGUAGAGAGAGAGAGAGAGGUAGAGAGAGAGAGGUAGAGAGAGAGGUAGGUAGAGAGAGAGGUAGAGAGAGAGAGAGAUAGAGAGAGGUAGAGAGAGAGAGGUAGAGAGAGUUAGGGGUAAAGAGAGAGGUAGAGAGAGAGGGAGGUAGAGAGAGAGAGAGAGAGAGAGGUAGAGAGAGGUAGAGAGAGGUAGAGAGAGAGAGGUAGAGAGAGGGAGGUAGAGAGAGGGAGGUAGAGAGAGAGAGGUAGAGAGAGGUAGAGAGAGAGAGAGAGGUAGAGAGAGAGAGAGAGAGAGAGAGAGAGAGAGAGAGAGAGAGAGAGAGAGAGAGAGAGAGAGAGAGAGAGAGAGAG